GAGAGCUUGGCUCAACGGAUAGAGCGUCAGUUUCCUAAACUGGAAAUGCCGGUUCGAUUCCGACAGCUCUCA
rnacentral:tRNA from 1 species